rnacentral:lncRNA from 1 species
AAUAAUUUAUCUAUAAAAGAAGGUAAAUGAAUAACAUUUAGUAAGAGACUUCUGGAUUGAUAUUCUAUCUCUCUAAAAAUAUAUCUACUGUUCACCACUCUUCACUGACUUAAGCAUCGAAGGAUUCCUAUCGGACACAACUCUGGUCAGUGUGGACUUCUUUUGCAAUUGCUCUUCUCUGGUAAUGGGUGCAACGGAGGAGUGGCUGCAAUAGAUUGACGUACC